rnacentral:rRNA from 1 species
CCUACGGGUGGCAGCAGUGAGGAAUAUUGGUCAAUGGCCGGGAGCCUGAACCAGCCAAGUAGCGUGAGGGAUGAAUGCCCUACGGGUUGUAAACCUCUUUUGUCAGGGAAUAAAAUCAGCCACGUGUGGCUGUUUGUAGGUACCGUACGAAUAAGCAUCGGCUAACUCCGUGCCAGCAGCCGCGGUAAUACGGAGGACCCGAGCGUUAUCCGGAUUAAUUGGGUUUAAAGGGUGCGUAGGCGGGUGUUAAAGUCAGCGGUAAAAUCGUGGGGCUCAACGGCAACCCGCAGUUGAAACUGGUGGCCUUGAGUGCGCAACAGGCAGGCGGAAUGCGUGGUGUAGCGGUGAAAUGCAUAGAUAUCACGAAGAACUCCGAUUGCGAAGGCAGCCUACCGGGGUGCGACUGACGCUGAGGCUCGAAAGUGUGGGUAUCAAACAGGAUUAGAUACCCCGGUAGUC